GGAAAGGCUCAGGCGCUCUGGGAGGGGCUUGCGGCCCAUCAGCUAGUUGGUAGGGUAAAGGCCUACCAAGGCGAAGACGGGUAGGGGGUGUGAGAGCACGGCCCCCCACAAUGGGACUGAAACACGGCCCAUACUCCUACGGGAGGCAGCAGCAGGGAAUAUUGCACAAUAGGCGAAAGCCUGAUGCAGCGACGCCGCGUGAGUGAAGAAGGCCUUCGGGUCGUAAAGCUCUUUUGUAGGGGAAGAGGAAGGACGGUACCCUAAGAAGAAGCGUCGGCUAACUACGUGCCAGCAGCCGCGGUAAGACGUAGGACGCGAGCGUUAUCCGGAAUUACUGGGCGUAAAGGACCAGCAGGCGGCUUGGUAAAGUUGUGCGUGAAAGCCUCGUGCUCAACGCGAGGAAGCCGGACAAUACUGUCAAGCUAGAGGGCAUCAGAGGGGAGUGGAAUUCCCGGAGUAGCGGUAAAAUGCGCAGAUAUCGGGAGGAACACCGAUGGCGAAGGCAGCUCCCUGGGAUGCACCUGACGCUAAGAGGCGAAAGCUAGGGGAGCGAACAGGAUUGAGAGACCCUGGUAGUCCUAAGCUGUAAACGCUGGGUGCUAAGUGUGGGACCGUUAGAAGUUCCGCGCCGGAGCAAAACGCGAUGAGCACCCCCGCCUGGGAAUUACGGGUCGCAAAGGCUAAAACUUCAACCAGAAUUGACGGGGCCCGCGCACAAGCAGCGGAGCGUGUGGUAACAAAUUAGAUGCUACACGGAGAACCAUCACCGGGGGUUAGACAUGCACGGUGGUACGAAGCGCGAACGCUCUAAGGACCUUUCGGGGACCGAACACAGGUGCUGAAUGCCGGUCGUCAGCUCGUACCGUGAGCUGUCGGGUUAAGUCCCGUAACGAGCGCAACCC
rnacentral:rRNA from 1 species